rnacentral:rRNA from 1 species
AUGGCGCCCACCAAGAAGGGAUCCAUAGCAACGAAACCUUCCAUGUCCAAGCUUUCGGCACACUCGUCCGCGGGCGACGCAGGUGGAACCACCGCCAUAGAUGGUGCAUACUCCAUGGUCAGUGCGACAGGCGCAGGCAGUGCGGUCGCCGUACCCACUAUGGCGGAAGCAGGCGGCGGAGGCACCGAAGGUGGGCCUCCACCUCGACCUUCUGGCAAAAACAACGACCAUGGCGCGGGCAACGCGGGUACACAACUCCUGCCUCCUAUGCGCGUUGGCGAGUGCAGCCACCGGAGCAACCCUGUUUGGCCGGGCGCGAGUCGCGACCCUCUCACUGUGAUGACGGCAGCGGAGGCGAGGGGAUCAACAUUGAGACACACACCAUAUCGGUCACGAGAUGGGCAUGAUGUGACACCAAGCGGUGCUAUUGUACCACCACAACAGUGCCCACAUGGCAAGUCACCCAUCGAUCAACCUCAAGAUCCAUAG